CUGGUUUACAGUGUUCUGUCAAUUUUCUACUGUACAGCAUGGUGACCCAGUUACACAUACAUGUACACAUUCUUUUUUCUCACAUUAUCAUGCUCCAUCACAAGUGACUAGAUAUAGUUUCCAGUGCUACACAGCAGGAUCUCAUUGCUUAUCUGUUUCAAAGGCAAUAGUCUGCAUCUAUUAACCCCAAGCUGCCAAUCCAUCCUGCUCCCCAACCCCCCUUGGCAACCACAAGUCUGUUCCCAAGUCCAUGAUUUUUUUUUUCUGUCAAAAGGUUCAUUUGUGCCAUAUAUUAGAUUCCAGAUAUAAGUGGUAUCAUAUGGUUAUUUAUCUUUCUUUUUCUGACCUAUUUUACUUACGACACCUACUGGCAAAGUGUAGCAUGGUAGCCUAGCUCUACUGGACACUAAGAGAGGGGAUAACUGGCCAGGAAUCAUCUCCCAAAGGAUGUAAGUAAACCUGGGGUGAGGGGGGGUGUAGAUUAAAUUCCUCCAGGCAUGAAAGAACACAGUAUCUUAACAAGAGUAAAGUCAAAAAACAUAAGGGAAGCAAAGCAUGUAAUAUCAAGAAAUGUCUACAAAGCCUUAAAACUCUUGAACACCCCGGGAUGCCACAGGAUAGCAGCUCAUGCAAACCUUUCUCUUCGCAAACAUUUUCAUCUCAAUUAUUCUCCAUUUUUUGCAGUGAAAAUCAGUGAGAAAAUAGGAUCAACUAUGAAAAUUCAUUCUGCAGUCAGCUUAUAGCAUACAUCUCUUAUUAAGCAAAGAAUAAUAUGUACAUUUGGUCUGGAGUAGCUUUACAACACAUGAAAUUAACUUUAUGCCAAUUUGAGAUUGCAGUUUUAAGAACAGAACUUGUCCUAUAUUGCUAUACAAAGAAUUGCUGUUGCUUUGCUUUAAGGUUUUAAUUUGAAAAUUUCCAAACUCAUAGAAAAGUUGAAAAAGUAUCACAAUGAAUAUCUGUAUAUCCAUCACCUAGAUUUAUCAAUUGUUAACAUCUUAUCACAUUAUUCAUGCUCUCUCCUUCUCUUGCUCUCUCUCUCUCUCUCUCUCUGUUACUCCACCUCUAAAUACAGCAUCAAUUAUCACCUAAGUACCAGGCAUUCUUGUACAUUAAUAUAAUACCAUGGUCAUACCCAAAACAUUUAACAUUGAUAGAACAAACUAUUAUCAAAUAUACAUUCUAUAUUCAAAUUUUCUCUAUUAUUCAAUGAUGUCCUUUAUAGCUCUUGCUCAUUUUUCUAAUUUAUGAUCCAGUCAGAGAACAAAUAUUGCAUUUGUCCAUCAUCUCUUUUUAGUCUCCUUUCAGUAUAACACAGUCCCUCUGUGCGCGCGCGCACGCGUGCACACACACACACACACACACACACAGAUACUCUUUUUUUUCCUUCUUUGAAAACAUUGAUCGUUUUAGAGUUUAUGCUAUUUGAUUUGAGGGCUAUCUCACAAUGUGAAUGUGUCUGAUUAAUUUCUUUUUAUUACACUCGGGUCAAUUUCUGGCAAGAAUACUAUGUAAGUGAUGUUGUGUCCUUCCCAUUGCACUCCAUCAAAAGCCACAUUUGUCCUAUUAUUGGUAGCGCUAAGUGUGAUCACUUGAUGAAGGUGCUGUCUGCCAUAUUUCUCCACAGUAAAAUUACUUUGUUCCUUUGUAAUUAAUAAGUAAUGUGUAGGGUGUUACUUUGAGGCCAUGCAGAUAUCUGCUUCCCCAAAUUGUUGUUGUUUUUUAAUCACUGUAAUUACCGUGAUCUCUCCCUAACAGAUUUGAGCAGUAAUGGGAGGACAAAGGCAUGGUCUUCAUUCACUCACUAUCUCUGUAAAUUCCAUUUGGCACUGGUUAAUGAUAAUGAAGCCUCUGGCACUUUUUUCCUAUAGAUGCACUUACAGGAUAGAACUCCAUUUAAAAAAUGCAUUACACCAAAGCACAGUGAAAGCAAUUACCAAU
rnacentral:lncRNA from 1 species